AAGGUGGCGGGGUGCCUUAUACAAGGCAGUUGAGCGGAAUCGAGGCGAUGCUCGGAUCUGCUCCAUGGUUAGCGGCGGACGGGUGAGUAACACGUAGGCAACCUGCCUGUAAGACUGGGAUAACUACCGGAAACGGUAGCUAAUACCGGAUAAUUGAUUUUCCCGCAUGGGAGAAUCAUGAAAGAUGGAGCAAUCUAUCACUUACAGAUGGGCCUGCGGCGCAUUAGCUAGUUGGUGGGGUAAUGGCUCACCAAGGCGACGAUGCGUAGCCGACCUGAGAGGGUGAACGGCCACACUGGGACUGAGACACGGCCCAGACUCCUACGGGAGGCAGCAGUAGGGAAUCUUCCGCAAUGGACGAAAGUCUGACGGAGCAACGCCGCGUGAGUGAUGAAGGUUUUCGGAUCGUAAAGCUCUGUUGCCAGGGAAGAACGUCCGGUAGAGUAACUGCUACCGGAGUGACGGUACCUGAGAAGAAAGCCCCGGC
rnacentral:rRNA from 1 species